UGCUUCUCAUGAGGGAGUCAGUCAC
rnacentral:piRNA from 1 species